rnacentral:rRNA from 1 species
GACGAACGCUGGCGGCGUGCUUAACACAUGCAAGUCGAACGGUGAAGCGCCUUCCUUUUUGGUGGGUGUGGAUGAGUGGCGAACGGGUGAGUAACACGUGAGUAACCUGCCCCCUUCUUCUGGAUAACCGCAUGAAAGUGUGGCUAAUACGGGAUAUUCUGGGUCUGUCGCAUGAUGGGUCUGGGAAAGAUAUUGUUUCGGUGGGGGAUGGGCUCGCGGCCUAUCAGCUUGUUGGUGGGGUGAUGGCCUACCGAGGCGGUGACGGGUAGCCGGCCUGAGAGGGUGGACGGGCACACUGGGGAGGAGACACAGCCAAGACUCGUACGAGAGGCAGCAGUGGGUAAUACUGCACGAUGCGGGCAAGCCUGAUGCAGCGACGCCGCGUGAGGGAUGGAGGCCUUCGGGGUGAGAGCUUCUUGCGCCAGUGAAGCAGGCCUGCCUCGUUUGUGGGUGGGUUGACGGUAGCUGGAUAAGAAGCGCCGGCUAACUACGUG